GCCGCAGCCGCAGCCCCAUGGCGGAGCGCAAGCCGGGGGCACCUGGGGGGCGGAUGCAGCUACGUUAAGAAGUUGGGGGAGGGGAGGGAACCUCCAAACUCGCCUUAAAAAUCGCCCCCAAGAGAGAGGGUGGCAGGAAAGAGCAAACUCCGGACUGAACGGAGCGAGCAGCAGGCGGCCGUGUUCGGUGCCGGGCCUGCCGGUGCGUCCCAGCCCGGGCGAGGGAGGCCAUGAGCACCGACAUGCACAGAAAACACAACAGGAGCCCUUGUGGCACCUUAGACACUAACGCAUGUAUUUGAGCAUCAGCUUUCCUGAGCUACAGCUCACUUCAGCGGAUGCCUGCAGUGGAAAAUACACAGAGCAUCACAUUGUGCUGUCCAGCUAGCUAGCGAUCCCAGGCAAGAUUGACCAGUUCUACCAGCAAAAAGGAAAGGAGGACUUGUGGCACCUUUAGAGACUAACACGUUUAUUUGAGCAUCAGCUUUCGUGAUCGGAUGAAGUGAGCUGUAGCUCACAAAAGCUGAUGCUCCAAUAUAUGUGUUAGUCUCUAAGGUGCCACAAGUCCUCCUGUUCUUUUUGCGGAUACAGACUAACAGGGCUGCUACUCUGAAACCAGUUCUACCAGGAUAGCCUCCACGUGGAUACUUUUAGUUUGGUAUAAGCAUGGGGCUUUUUUUUUUCCCAUUUAUCAUCAGCCCCUUCCUCAGUGACAUAAACUAAACCAAAAGAAGGCACUCAUUCCUAGAAGAAUGAGAUGAGACCAGAAUAACUUGUGUUGGUUUAAAGCUUAUCUUAUACCAGUAUACAUUUGAGUGUAGACAAGCCUUUAUCUGGGUGUGUACUUUGGAAGAGGGACUUUAUCUUUUUGUCUUCAUAUUUGUCUGCAAAGGACUUAUCAUUUGGAUGCUCGACAAGUCACACAGCUGGUUGAGAUUUUUCAGCUUUCUUCAAAAUCAAAAUGUGAUGCGAAAACAGUUCAGUUUUGACAUAUUUGACUCCCCCACACCCAAAAAAAGAAUAAAAGAAUAAAAAAUCAUUUUAUUUGGUUGAAAAAUUAAAUUUUUCACCACAAAUUUAUUUUUCAACAUGCUUUAAUAAAUUAUCCUGCUCUCUCCAGUUGGGAGUGGGCCAGCCCCGCUGCUUUUCAGAAACCCACUUCUGCUGAAACUUCCUUAAAAUAUAUUUCAGCUGGAGGGGUCUGUGAAAAUGAGGGAAACUUGCAGUGUACCUGGCCCCUUCUAUGAAGCUUGCUGAGGCAGCAUGGCCUGGUACGUAUAGGAUGCCAGAUUGGGACUUGGUUUGGCCAGCAAACUUUUAAAUCAAAACAAACUGAAAAAAUUCAGUCAGCUGCAGAAAACUGUAUGUUUAGCUUUAUCCCAGUGAUAAGGGUACUUGCCUGGUAUAUGGAAAAGCCAGGGUUGAAUCCCUACUCUUGCAGUGGGACUUGAACUCAAAUCUCCCUCUAUGUAGGUGAGCAGCCCAACCACCAGGCUAUAGCCUAGUCAUCUUCUCAAGCUCUCCUGUUGAAGGUCUUCCACUUCGUAUAAAGAGAUAAUUUGUCAUUGGGCCAGAAAGAACAAACAACUGUUUAGCUUGGUGAUUAAGGCACUCACCUGGGAGGUAGGAGAUGUGGAUUCAAAUCUUCUGCCUAUCUGAUUCAGAAGAGGGAUUUAAAUCCACAUCUCCUACUUCCAGGUGAAUGCCUUAAUCAUCAGACUAAAGUGUCAUUGUCACUUUCUUUGGCUUUAUAAGACUAACAACCUAAACCAACCAGCGCAAAUUCGCAUAUAGUUUUGGGUUGACCAAAACUGCGUUUUUUAGCAAAUAAACUCUUCAUCUGAAAAUUGUCACCCCACUCUACAUGGGAUAUCUGGUUUUAUUCCCAGCUCUGCCACUGACCUGCUGUGUGACCUAGGGCAUGUCACUUAUCUCUGUGCCUCUCUUUCUCUUCCCAUCUUUUGUCUGUCUUAUUUAUUUCAAUUGCAAGCUCUCUGAGGCAGGAACUGUCUGUUACUAUAUUUUCAUACAAUGCCUAGCACAAUGGGACCCCAGCCACUAUCUAUGUAUCCCUAUGGAAGGCCUCUUGGGUCUACCAUAUUACAAAUAAUAAGCAAUAAUAAUACAAAGCCGUCACAUUGGGGAGUAGAACAAGAGAGGUUCUGGACCUGCUUUCUCUUUUUGAAGCUGCAAUAUUGUCUCCAGGCAUUGAUACAUACUUAGUCUUUGGCAUCAGGCCAUAUAUACAUCUUGGGAGCUACUGUUUUUCCCUUGGGUAUUUUUGAACUAGUCUUUCCCUAUUCCCUAUAACCUUUCCCAUCAUCCUGUGGGCCUGUUUGUCUUGCCAUGUGUUGUGUGAAUUGCAUUGUGUUGCUCACUGAAUAGAAGUAAUUUUUAUUUGAAGGAGCAUGCUCUCAACCCUGACUUGGCAUUCAAAAUGUUUUUGUGUUUGAGGUUGUAUUCUGUCUUUGAUGGGUGACACUAUAAGUCCCAGCCGCCAUCCACCGUUUGUCUUCUUAUAUUUAAAACCUACCUCACAGGAAUAAGUAAAAGAUUUGUGUUACUUCUUGGCCAUGAAAGGACUGGUCGUCCAUUGCUUGUGUACAUGCAAGAUUACAGCAUUCCUCUUGAACUUCUCAGCCUCGCUAAUGGUGCUGGACCCUUGGAUAUUGCCAUUCACUACAAAGCACUUCAGUUAGAUAAUAAUCAUUGUAUUGGGCUGCUGUCCCCACCUCCCUGUGAUUUCUGGUUGCUUAACCAUGCCCAGGAAUCAGUCUGGUUAAUUAUUUGCCUUCACGUUUUCAGAAAUCCUUACCUCAACUAGAAGUAAUAGCAUUAGCUCGGGGAUUCUUUUCAUGGAAUGAAUGGAAAACUCCAACUCCACAGUAGCCUUUGUGGUAGUUCAUGCAGAAUAUGGUCCUGCUGUUUGUUCAAAUCAUGAUGGUGCUUUCUGCGGUGAGAAUCCAAGAGGCCAUUCUGUUUGUAACUUUAAUAUGCUGAGCAGUUGAAAUUAACCAUUUAUAACUGAAAUAAAGUAAAUUUUAUAG